UACGGAGGGUGCAAGCGUUAAUCGGAAUUACUGGGCGUAAAGCGCGCGUAGGUGGUUUGUUAAGUGGGAUGUGAAAGCCCCGGGCUCAACCUGGGAAUUGCACCCCAAACUGGCAAACUAGAGUACAAGAGAGGGGUGUGGAAUUUCCUGUGUAGCGGUGAAAUGCGUAGAUAUAGGAAGGAACAUCAGUGGCGAAGGCGACGCCCUGGCUUGAUACUGACACUGAGGUGCGAAAGCGUGGGGAGCAAACAGG
rnacentral:rRNA from 1 species